rnacentral:rRNA from 1 species
UACAUGGGGUGCAAACGUUGCUCGGAAUUCUUGGGCGUAAAGCGCACGUAGGCGGUUCGUUAAGUCGGAUGUGAAAGCCCUCGGCUCAACUGAGGAAGUGCACCCGAAACUGGCGAGCUUGAGUACGAAAGAGGAUCGCGGAAUUCCCGGUGUAGAGGUGAAAUUCGUAGAUAUCGGGAGGAACACCGGUGGCGAAGGCGGCGAUCUGGGUCGAUACUGACGCUGAGGUGCGAAAGCGUGGGGAGCAAACAGG